UAGUAGUGUCCAUGUCGGUCAUCUCAAAG
rnacentral:piRNA from 1 species